CAGCGGGUGCCCGGAACAAGGCCGGGAGAAUAGGGAAGCGGGUGUAAUUCCCGCGCGGGACCGCCGCCGUAAGGGGGAGGACCGCUCCAGCGCCACUGCAUUUUUGCGGGAAGGGGGAGCGGCCCGGAGAACCUGAGCCGGAAGACCUGCCCGAC
rnacentral:ncRNA from 1 species